GACUGCACCACUGCACUCCAGUCUGGGUGACAGAGCAAGACCCUGUGAAAAAACAAAAACAAAAAAACAAGAGUGCAGGUGUAGUUAUGAAGAGAUAGCACCCAAAGUAGUGCUUACAGUGAUAGAAUAGUAAGUUGAGUGUGGUACUGUUACACAUAACUACAUGUACACACAACUGUACACACACACCCCUGCCGUACACGCACACAACAGUACAUAUCCACCUGGUUAAAUCUGAACAAGUUCCUGGAUUGUAUCAACGUCAGUUUCCUGGUUUUGAAACUGUAAUAUAGUUAUAUAAAAUUUUAUUAUUGUGAGAAGCUGGGUGACGACUUCCUUGUACAUUUUUCCCCAACUUCCUAUGGAUCUACAUUAUUUCAAAAUUUAAAAAUUUAAAAAACAGUAAUACUCUGUGCAUUCUGGACAGUACAUAGUUCAUUAGUAUAGAUUUUUUUAUCACUUAACAAAGUUUAAUGUUCAGAUUAGUUGAUUUAGAAACUUUGCAGAACAAUUUUCUUUGGGUUUUAAAUGUUUUCACAUUUUUCGGUGGAAGAGAUAACUUUUACUUUUGAUAUAAUUUCAAACUUAAAAAAUUACACAGUCAAGAAACUACCAUAAUCUUUAACCAGAUUCACCAAUUGUUUACAUUUUGCUCCAUCUGCUUAAACAAUCACAAACUCUUUCCUCCUGUUUCCCUUCCUCACUCGUGGUGUGGUGGUGGUGUUCAGGCGUGUGCGUGCGUGCGUGCGUGUGUGCGUGUGUGUGUGUGGUGUGUCUCCCUUGAACCAUUUAAGAGGUGACAACAUCAAAGUUCAUUCCCCUAAAUACUUCAAUACGUACUGGCCUAAAACUACAGUCUCUCAACCUUUCUCCUGGAACCAGUGGGCCAGGCUGGACAUGGUCUUUUGGAGAUGAUAGAGGCACAAAAAUAUGAGCCCAAUCCUGCCAGUGCUACUCAAGCCUUUGGACAUGACAUGCCCACUAAUACCAAAGUGAGUCCUAUGACCAAAUCCAAAGCAGGGGGCAAGGAAAUAUAAUCUGCCCCUUUAGGAGUAGGUGGUAAAUGGUAUAGUCACAUGGCAAAGAACUGGUGCUAUUAAUGCAAUCUAUUACACCCGCUGAACCCAAGGUUUUCAGGGAUGGGAGCUGGUAUUUAAUAAGUGCUUCAGGUAAUUUUGAUGCAUACAUAUGACUAAAAAUAAACAGGGGAAAGAUUCCGGGCAAAGGAUACAUUUUGAUAUCGAAAAUAAAUAAAAAUGGCACACAGAAACAGACAUUGUUCUCCAAACUCCAAGAGUUGGUCCUAAAAUAAGGCUUUAGUCUCCUUGUUAGCAACGAAAAGAAGAAAGUAUUAUGUAUGUAAAAUAAAAGCGAAUUAGUAGUUGUUCCAAAGUACAGCUUUUCCAAGAUGCAGAAAUCAGAGAGUAACUUCACUAGUAAGUCCUCAGUAAGACGCUGGAUGACAUAAUGGAGAAGGUCCUUAAUAGUGUUCCUAAAAAAAUUAAAGAUCUGUUUUAGGUGACUUCUCCUUUUCCUCUCUUUUCUUGGGGGGCGGGGGAAAUCAUAUCCUAAAAGUACAAUCCAGUAAACGCAAAGUUAACAGGAGGUCAAAAUCAUGCAAUCCAUGCACACAGAUCUCCAAUGGUAUGGUUUAACUUAAAAGUAAAAUUUGAAAUAUUCACAGGAAUGCAGAGAAUGCCAACCUUUAGUCAGUGCUCCAUUAAUACAUUUCUCAAAACUGAGUGUUAGAAAAAUUUAGAAUGUCAAGAGUAUAUGGCUGAAUAUCAUUAAGAGCAGAAGUACAUGUUUUAUCAAUUAAGGCAAGGAACAAAUGAGAAGGUGAUUUUAUGAAGUUUAAGAAGCUUACCCAAAAUACAUUCCACUUCUAGACAGAAGCCUCAGGCAGGUUAGAAUUGUUUUUAAAAUAAGUCUGACUUUGCUCUAAUACAUAAAUGAAUGAGAGGAUCACGAUUCCAAAUUUACAAACCAGUGCUACUAACUAUAGAUAAAUGCUAUCUAUAGUUUCCGGAGCUGAAAGCCAAAAAAUUGAUAAAACUUCUGGGCAAUAUUUUAUAAUGCCUGUUUAAUAUACCACAAAUUCUCCUUUAUAGAAAGAAAAGGCUAUAUGUGAACAAAUUGAUUAGCCUCCCUAAUUGUAGGCAACACAUAGCCUAUAUUAUGAGGUACAGAGGGGAAAAAAGGAAAUUAAAUCUACUAUGUGCCAGGCACUGUGCUAGUUGUUUUAGUUUUUUUCCCCCAUUUAAUCUUCAAUAUAAUCCAAUGAAUAAGUCUUGUUACCACCAUUUUAAAGAUAAGAACUCUGGGCAGUUCGCUUGUUUUUGUCCCAUUAUUAAGAUGAGGUUAAUCAGACUUACUUGUUAGGUUAAGAUAAACUUGACAGUAAUCAUAAAAUGGUUAUCCACAAGGAAGAUAAAAUGGUGAGAAUUCUGGGCAUAUCCUCCUAAUAGUAACUUUGACCUCGGAGACACACACAGUUAUGUGUCACAUAAUGACAGGGACAAACAUUCUGAGAAAUGUACCAUUAGGCAAUUUCAUCACUGUGCAAACAUGAUAGAAUGUACCUACACACACCUAGAUGGUAUAGCCUACUACACACCUAUUGCUACUGGUAUAGCCUAUUGUUCCUAGGCUACAAACCUAAACAGCAUGUUACUGUACUGUAUACGUAGCCAUUUAUAACACAAUAGUAAGUAUUUGUGUAUCUAAACAUAGAAAAGGUACAGUAAAAAAUACGGUAUUAAAAUCCUAUAGGACCUCAGUCAUUAUGGUCUGUUGUUGACCAAAUGUCAUCAUAUGGUACAUGACUGUGUAUGUUACCUAUACUCAAAAAUCAAUAUUAUUGAUUAGUGGAUGAAAAAGCAAAUCCUAAAACUCAACACAAACAGCAACAAACAAACUCAACUAUAGAUGAAAUAAUACCCUAAUCACACACAAAAAUUUUUCAAGUAACUGCGAUGACAGUACUAUAACUAUACAAUUACUGAGUAGUUUAUUGAAAUAUAAAACCCACAACCCCCCUGCAAAUAAGUCCACUGGGAGCCCAUAAAUGUCACCUUAUUUGGAAAAAGGGUCUUUGCCAAUGUAAUAAAGGAUCUCAAGAUGAGAUCAUCUUGGAUUUAGGGUGGUCCCUAAAUCUAAUGACACACACCCGUAUAUAAGAUAGAAGAAAGAGACAGAUAUACUAAGGGAGCCACAUGAGGAUAGAGUCAGAGACCGGGGUUUUAUGUAGCCACAAGAUAAAGAAUCCCUGGAGCCACUACAAUAGCUGGAAGAGGUAAGGAAGGACUCUUUCCUAGAGCCUUUGGAAGGUGAAUCGGCACACUGACAUUUUGGUUUGGCCUUCUGGCCCCUUGAACUGUGAGACAAUAAAUCUCUGUUGUUUUAAGCCACCAGCUUUAUGGUAUUAUAAGUUGUUAUAGCAGCCCUAGGAAACGAAUAUACUGGAAUAUAUCCUAAGAACAAAAAGAACUGAAAAGAAACCUUGGAUAUUGUGUGUUCUGUGUUGGCACUGGGAUUGAUACAGCAAUUCUAAUACAAUAUGGUACCUUAGAAGCAAAAUGAAGAGAGCCCCCAAUACCAGAGGAGUCAUCAACUAGUCACUGAAUACUAAAGUCUGAGAACUGACCACUAGACUUGAUGCAAGUUACUGGUGACUUAGAGAAGAUCCAUUUUGAAAAUGGUGGGACAGAAGAGCAGAAACCUGUUUAGGGUAGGUUUAACAAAGAAUGGGAGGACAAAUGUGAUGUCAGGUACUUGUGAAAGCUUUUCUGAUUGCCUUGAUGAGGAAGAGAUGCUGGAGGUUUUCAGGAGAGGAAAAAGAAUGAAACAAUCAUCUAGGAGAGUGAACGGCUCAAAGAAGUGUGGUACAGUUGCUGGGUAACAUUAAGAGCCCACUGCCUUUAAAGUGAGACCAGUCAUUAUGUUUUUUGAAUUCUUCUCCAGUACCACUUAGCUGCAAGGGUGAGAUUUAACCAAAGCUGUGGUUUUGCCAAAACAGAGAGGAGCGAAGGAACUGAAGGUACUUGUAUGCAAGGGAAUGAUUAAAUGACCUUUGAAUUUAAGCUAUAAGGAGGAAAAGAGGGACACUGAAGAGAAGAAAAACAGUAUUGCAACAUUCAACGCAGGUGGUGAGUGAGUCCUAUCCUGCAACUCAUUCUUUGGUUUCUGUGACUCAAUCUUCUUUCUUGUACCUUAGAUUGACUCUACUGACUCCACUUUCUCUAAUGGUUCAUUAUCUUUGAUAACUUCUUAACUCUAGCUACUCAGGUCUACCUAUAGCUCUUCAAAAAUUGAAUUAUUUCCAUGGCCUCUGAAAGUUCUUUAUUGCUUCAUUAUGUGGGAAUUCAUUCAUGAUUCUUUUUUGGCACUACAAAUUCUUAUAGUACCAAUGUGUGAAUGUGUCAACAUGACAAUCAUUUCCCCUUAAAAUGUUACUGCUCAAAUAUUUCUAAAAUGAAAAAUCACUAUCUGUAAUCUUAGAUCUUCUACCAUUGCUCCCAUUCAUUAGUAAUCCGAACGGUAAAGUUGACCCGCUGUAAAUCAAGGACUGUCUAUGUUGCUAUUUUAUCAUUACACCUAGACAAAAUCUAUCUAUCCUCUAUUCCUCUAUUAUUUCACUUACCAUCCUUCAAGUUCCAAUUCUUCCUGGAAACCAUCCUCUACCUACCAUUUUACUUCACAAUCUUUUCCUUUAAUGAAUUCCUGUAUUAGACCACACAAAGUCAGCAUCCAGCCAUGCAUAAUUACAUUCUUUCUAAUCAUUUCAUUGGCACCUUAAGUACAGAAUCUUGUCUAAUUAAUUUUUUAAAAUUAAUUUUUGAAAUCUCUCCAUAAUACCUAGCACAAUGCUGGUCAUAUGGUUACCAGGUUGAAAUGAAACACAAAACUGCUAGAGAAUGUAUUAGAUGAAAAACACAACGCCUUAUACAA